CGAAAACACUAGGGGUGCCCCAAUUGGGCUGAGAUGAACGACCGUUCGAUCCCUUUGAACCUGUUAAGUUAGGACUUGCGAAGGAAAGUGUUCGAUUAAAACG
rnacentral:ncRNA from 2 species